UCCAGGCUUCGGACUCAGCUUCAGCUUGACCUUUUGAGGAAUCUGCCUUUCUCCUAGCAUCAUUACUGACAAUGAGAUCCCAGGAAUUACAGCACAAACUGCAUGAACUCCAUAUAUCCGGAGCUGCAGUACAAGCUGGACCUCUAGACUUUUCACUUCAUGACCUGAAACCAGGAGACAAGGUGUAUAUUAAGAAUUUCCAGCAUCCUGGAGCAACUCAGCCUGCCUGGGAAGGGCCAUUCCAAAUAUUGUUAACUACUCCAACAUCUAUAAAGAUUGGAGAGAAGGACUCUUGGAUUCAUGGCUCACAUGUAAAGAGAGCAUCUUCUGUUGAGACUGAUUGACUGUAUCCUAUCACAUGCAUUGGAGAUAAUAAUCCAUUGUCAAGUGGAUGCUGGUUUUUUUUUUGAGAACACAUUGAAUUCAUGAUUUUUUUUCUUUCCCCCUUAUUUUUAUUAUUGCUUUUCUUUUAUUUUGAUUAGAAUAUUUUAUUUUUUUCCUCUUUAUUUUUCUCAUUUCUUGUACUAAAGGUACAUACAAUUAAUAUUAAUUUUUCUGCAUUAAUAUAAGUUUAAUAUACAUGUAUAUAUAUAUGUGUGUAUAUAUACAUAUACUUGAUUUAAUAUCAAUGCAUACCCAAAAAACUUUAAACUCAACCUGACAUUUAUUGAUAAAAUGUUAUGGGACUAUGGUUAAUGUUUGUGUCUGAUUCUAGGAAAUGGCAUAAAAACAAGGAGCACAGACUUAACCUGAAUAGUGCAAAAAAGAGCACACAGGAAAAAAAAACUAGCGUGAGACUCAAGAUUGUGAUGCUUGACAUAUGUUAAGUCAUAGAACUUCCUUGUAUCUAUAUUUUUUGUGAAGUACUCAAACAAGUACCAAAGUUUGACUAUCAUCCUGGCUUCCCAUAUUGCUGAGAAUAACAAAAUAUCAGACCAGGGAAUGACACUUCCCUAUCAAAAAUAAAAUUCUAGGUUUUUUUUUCUUUCUUAUAUUAUGGCAACUUCCUGUAGUCUUGGCUGCAAAUGGAUAAGUGAAAUAUUACUGCAUUCUGUCCUACAGACUUGUGGGAUAAGAAAUUACUUUAAAUUGGACCUAUACAAUGGCCUGUUAGAAAUUUAUUAAACCCAAAUAAGGGCCUAUUUUGUGUUUUUUUUCUUUUUUCUUUCCAUUUUUUCCCCUUUCCUUAUGUUUUUGGUUGUUUUUUUCUUUUUUUGAUAAUUAUCUCAUACACCCCCAUAACUCAACAUUGCAUCUGGAGCUGAACUGGAUGUUUUUUAAACCCACUAAAGGGGGAAAUUGUAUUUUAAUAAAAAUCUGAGAUUUUGAAAUUUUGUUUGAGAAAGAUCUUCAAGGAGGAAACUUGCUAACUCCUAAAUCCAGAGAAUGAACUGUUGCAGAAAGAUGCCAGAAAACCUACACUACAUCAAGAAGAUCAAGAAUGAACUUUGGAUGUGGUUGAUUGAACUGAAGUUUGAUUGAACAUGUAUUGUAAAUGUAAACUUUUAUGCCAAAGGGGACUGCCCCCAAUUUGGCUUUUUGUUAAUGCACCUAGCAAAACAUUGGUUUUGCUUUCUCUCUUUUCUAUUUCUCCAUAACUAUUUUAAUUUCCUCUUAGAAAUUGAAUAUUGUAUACAUCUGUAGUUAGAAGUGCUUUAGAACUACAAGAUGAUUAUGUUAAAUGAUAAAUGGGGAGACUAGUCUCCCAGUGAUUAUCAGGGGGAUUGUAAAUUUUAAAUUACUCCACCCUACUUAAACCUUACUUUUGGGGAAGAUAAAGUUGUAAUCUCCUGAUUGAAUAAUGAAGGUACUUAGUUCUCACCUUAUAGUGAAGCUAGAACUUUAAGCUAAGUUUAUUUUUAGAUCUUAAUAAAAAAGAUGUUAAGUAACUAUAGAGGUUAAAUUAAUCACAAAAGGUCAAGUAACUUAACAAAAGGUGAACUUAACAAAGAAAUGCUAAGUAACUCAAAAGAUAUAAUCUAAUCAAAGAAGGUGAGAACUAAAAGUAUGGACAGUCCUGAAGAAAGCCUUUGAUGUGAUUGGUAGAUGUGAAAGUUUAGAGGAAGAGACACAAGGGUUAAAGGUCUUUAUAUUUGGGAUUUUUCGUCUCUCAAAAAAACCCCACUCUCUUUCCCUUAUUGGCGGUGGAGAGUUAGCUGAGAGGAGCAUGCUGAGCCUUUCGGCAUCUUAGCAUGGCUACAAGCUAUUGUCUGGUUCGGUGGUGAGUUUCUGGCUGAGUUUUCCUCCUUUACUUUCCAAUUUUAUCCUCUUAGAAGCCUCUAAUCUUCAGAGACUUAGAGGCAGGGAUUUUUAAAUGCCCCCCUGGCACAGGCCAGGUGGGAGAAAUCCUAUAUCCCCUUCCUUCCCUCUCCUUAAUUCCUUCCCUCUAUAUUAAUUAAAUUACCAUAAAAUGCCAGACUGACUUGGGUAUUUUAUUUGGGAUUUCCCCUGGUGACCAAUUAAAUCUAGGUUUUAAGUCACAACUCUAAAUUCAUCUUUACAUGCAUGACUGCCUGGCCCUACCUUUGUGUGCUGAAUAGGGGCCAUUUGCCACUUUCAGUGUCCUUGCCAGUCUGGGUUAAGGAACUCCUGAAUUAUGUAAACUUAUCUCCAUUCUACCUUAUAUAUAGGUCUAAACUUCCUAGCAUGAAGCCACCAGCCAUUGACAGGACACAGAGAUACAAAGAAUUCCUUAACCCACUAAACCUAAGGAAUCUGGUCCCAUUCCAACACAGGAAGAUCUUCACUCUGGGUGCCCCAGGGAAUCCUUAGAGUUCCUUGCCCAUCUAAGCCCCUCCUGAGGACAGCUAAGAUUCCAUGCCAAGUCUCCUGCAUAUCCUCCAUCCUCAUCCUUACCAGAUUAGAACAUUCAACAUCUCAGCCCUUUCUCUACCUUCCACCUUCUAUUCCAGUACUCAGGGUCACUUUGCCAGAGAUUUAAGCUUCUUUCUCCUCAAGUCAUUCCAUUUGUAUUCCUAGCAUUUGGCUGAAAGCUGUGAAAUUCCGUAUUUUUCCCCAUAGUGGGGGAAAUAGCAACAAAACCAUAGGAAAAAUUCAACUCUAUUCCCAACUCUGAGCGGGACUAGAACCCCCUACUUCAACAACUACAGUUUAGACUUUGGUUAGGCUUCCUAGAUCAGCUGCUUUAUACCCUUCUAAUUCCUGAAGAGAAAAUUGAAUAAUGUUUUUAAAAAUUAUACUACAGUAAAGAAAUUCUAUAAUGUAAAAUAUCCAUGGGAUAAAAAUUCUUUUGGAAAUGUAAGUUAAAACAUUAAUGAAUGAUAGAAACAUAAAAGGAUAAUUAAGUUGAAUAAUAAAUAUAUUGAGAAACAGCAUGGUGUGGUAGAUAAGGAGCCAACCUUAGAGUCAGAGAGAAACAACAAAUUAUAGAAUAAAUCAAGUUGAGGGAAAAUAAAUAAAGAAAUAAAUUUGGAAAACCAGUUUGUCAAUAAAAUUGAAAAAGCAGCUAAUAGAUAUGCCUAACAAAGUAACACAUUUGGAAAAUAAAGAAAAUUAGAUGCAUCAGACUAAUUGUAAUUUUACAUACACCAAAUAAGAAAAAACUUGCUCUUUCAAAUUUAAGCACCAAUUAUGGGAUGACACAGUUUAAUUUUUGGAGUGGUAUUGUAGAAAGUCUAUAUACAUUAGAUAGGAGUUUGUGCUAGACAACCUCAUGUCUCUUCCAACCCUAAGGUUAUAUAGUUUUUAAUGGAUCUUAUUUCUAUGUUUUCGGAACAAAUCAAUUUUGUGAAUUCAUCAGUAUUUAUUGUCUAUAUCACAGCAUUUAUCAACUUAAUGAAUAUUGCCUCACAUUUUUUAUAAUCGAAUGACUAAUUUUUAUAAUAAUAAUAUACUGAAUAAAAAUGACCAAAAAAGAUUUUUUUCCCUGUCAUAUUCAUAAAAACAGGUGAAACAUGGUAUUUUUGUGUUAAUUUCAAAUAUGGUUUCACAUAUUGUUUUAUCAUAUAGUCUUUUACAAGAAUCUUGUAUUUUUGUCAGCUAGGUAGCAUAGUGCUGAGCCUGGAGUCAAGAAGACUUAUCUUUUUGAAUUCAAAUGUAGAUUUCCUCAUACAUUCCAUUCACUUUUAGAACAUUUCUUCUCAUGAUUGAAAUAAAAUAAGCCUGUGUGUUUGAAAUACAUUUGCCCCAGAAGUAUUUUUCCAUUGUGAAGAUUUAUUGAUGGAUUCAUUCUUUCCCUUUGCCAAACACUAAUAGCACCUAGGAUUUUUUCUUUGUUUUGGCUAACUUUUAUUUUUUAGAAAAAUCUUGACAAACAAGAUUAAAAAAUUUUAACAAAUGUGAAAAUUUCCAUAUUUAAAGUAAAAUAGAAAAGCUUAUAUAUGGAAUUGUCUAUCUCAGAUUUGAACCUAGAAUCUCCUAUCUCUAGGCCUGACUUUAUCCACUGAACUACCUAGUGGCUCCUAUUUCCAGUUCUUUUGCUGCAACAACAAAAAGUGCUGUCAACAAUGUUUUACAUAUAUGAGUUCUUUCAGAAUUUGGUCUCUUUGGAUAGAAGAGUUAUUGCUUGAUCAAAACGUAUCCAGUUCAGUUUUUUUUUUUUUUUGAGAGAAGUGCUAAAUUUAUCCCUAAGAAAAGUAGAACUGGAAGUACUGGAUCAUUGUAAACAUGGUGAAAUGGCUCUGGAUUUCUGAUGUCAACCAAAGCUGCUUGUAGAAGAAAUGAUUUAAUACAUAUAUACACUAAGAAUUCAAAUAAGAGUAUUUGAUGAGUUUUAGAUUGUUCAAAAUGGAAUGUUCAUUUCUUUCUGCUGCUUCUAGUUGUGGCUACUCAAAUAAAGAUAUUUAGUGUA